UCGUGCUUUGCGGCACGAGUUGUAGAUUGCAGGUUGGAGUCUGUGUGGAAGGCGGUGUCCAAGUCCCUUGGAACAGGGCGCCCAGGAGGGUGAGAGCCCCGUGGGAUGCCGGCGGAAGCAGUGAGGCCCUUCUGACGAGUCGAGUUGUUUGGGAAUGCAGCUCCAAGCGGGUGGUAAAUUCCAUCUAAGGCUAAAUACUGGCGAGAGACCGAUAGCGAACAAGUACUGUGAAGGAAAGAUGAAAAGCACUUUGAAAAGAGAGUGAAACAGCACGUGAAAUUGUUGAAAGGGAAGGGUAUUGCGCCCGACAUGGGGAUUGCGCACCGCUGCCUCUCGUGGGCGGCGCUCUGGGCUUUCCCUGGGCCAGCAUCGGUUCUUGCUGCAGGAGAAGGGGUUCUGGAACGUGGCUCUUCGGAGUGUUAUAGCCAGGGCCAGAUGCUGCGUGCGGGGACCGAGGACUGCGGCCGUGUAGGUCACGGAUGCUGGCAGAACGGCGCAACACCGCCCGCUG
rnacentral:rRNA from 1 species